GGCUUUGUAGCUCAGCUGUUAGAGCAGUUGCCACGUCUAGGCAUGUUUCUGUCGUUGGUUCGAAUCCAGCCGAAGUCC